rnacentral:rRNA from 1 species
UACGAAGGGGGCUAGCGUUGUUCGGAUUUACUGGGCGUAAAGCGCACGUAGGCGGAUCGUUAAGUCAGGGGUGAAAUCCUGGAGCUCAACUCCAGAACUGCCUUUGAUACUGGCGAUCUCGAGUCCGGAAGAGGUGAGUGGAACUCCUAGUGUAGAGGUGGAAUUCGUAGAUAUUAGGAAGAACACCAGUGGCGAAGGCGGACUCACUGGUCCGGAACUGACGCUGAGGUGCGAAAGCGUGGGGAGCAAACAGGG